UCAUAUAAAAUGGAUUACCUACCUUCAAAAAUUUAACUUGGUCAUCAAAUACAAAAAGGGAGUUCAGAAUAAAUUGGUCGAUAUGCUAUCUCGGUCACUAAUAACAACACUUUACUUGUCUAUUGUAAUGGAGAUUCAACUAAGUUGUAUAUGAAGAAUAUGUCAACAUGCAUGACCAUGAUCCACAUUUUUGUGAUAUAAUGACAA
rnacentral:lncRNA from 1 species